rnacentral:rRNA from 1 species
UAUCGUGCUAAGGUAGCAUAAUAAUUUGUCUUUUAAAUGAGGACUGGAACAAAAGACUUAACAUUUUAAUUCAUUUAUCUAAUUUAACUUUCCAAAUUUUCAAAAUGUUAAAAAACAUUUAUAAUACAGAAAGACGAUAAGACCCUAUUGAACUUAACUUAUGUUUUACUGGGGCAGUAAAAUUAAUUAUUAUUUUAAUUAAAUUUUAAACAAAAAUAUCCAACUCAUUUGAAUUAUUCAGUUACCAUAGGGAUAACAGCACUAUAACAUCUUCAAGUUCCUAUUUAAGAUGUAGAUUAUGACCUCGAUGUUGAAUUAAUAAUCUAAUUAAAGCAAAUUUUAAAAAAGAAAGUCUGUUCGACUUUUAAAUAAUUACAUGAUUUGAGUUCAGACCGGUAUAAGCCAGGUCGGUUUCUAUCUUCUAAAGAGUUUUUUACAGUACGAAAGGACCCACUAAUAUAAUUUAAUUAAUUUAUUGGCAGAUAAUUGCAUUAGAAUUAGAAUCUAAAUAAGAUAAA